CUCCUCGAGGACAGACUCUUGGAGAAUCAGUGAAACAGUAUGCUUUGAGCUGAAUUCUGUAGCAUUGAAUGGUGAUGGAUUCUACAUGAAGGGAUAUGCCUAUUGGGAAACCCAGUGUGAUGCAAUUUUGGCAUUUGAUGUUAAGUAUGAAACUUAUGGGAUGUUCAGUCUCCCGCCUUGCAGAGAACCAACUGGUGCUUUGACAGAGAUACGAGGGAAUUUGUUCUACCUUAUGCCCCGCAAACAAGAUGAAUGCUCAAUUGAAGUCUACGGGGAUAUCAGUAUGAGUCUGAAGCAUGUGAUUCCUCUUGAUCCUAAAGCUCUGGGGAACACGGAUGGGUUGUGCAGGGCUUUGUCUUUUGUGAAUGAUGACACAUUUAUCCUUGAUCUUGAGGGGAAGAUUAUUGCUUAUAAUGCAACAUCACAUAAGGUGGAAUGCCUGAGAAAUGCAAGGAAUUAUGAAGGAUUUGCAAAGUAUCUGCCAUAUGUGAACAGCCUUGUAACUGUUUCCCGCCCGGUGUUUAGCAAAUGGGAGGAUGGCAUCUAGCUGCAGCGUAUGUAGAAACUAUUUUCUAGCUUAACAUAUUUUGUCAGUUUACUCCCAAAACCCGUUGAGAGGAUUACUGACUUCCUAAUAUGAUGUUUUUGGUUGUUCAAAUUCAAAAUUCUAUGGAAGUUAACCUAAACGAACUUCCUUUUUGAGCUUGUAAUUUCUUUCAACACCGGUGGUUCUGAAUCAAUGAUCAAAUGAUAUGAACUGGUUUUUUUUUUUUUUUUUUUUUUUUU
rnacentral:misc_RNA from 1 species